rnacentral:misc_RNA from 1 species
GAUGGAACGUAGCGAAAUGCGAUAAGUAAUGUGAAUUGCAGAAUUCAGUGAAUCAUCGAAUCUUUGAACGCACAUUGCGCCCCUUGGUAUUCCGAGGGGCAUGCCUGUUCGAGCGUCAUUACACCACUCAAGCACUGCUUGGUAUUGGGCACUCGUCCGUCGAAAGACGGGCGUGCCUCGAAGACCUCGGCGGGGUUUCUCCAACUUCGGGCGUAGUAGAGUUAAAUCAAAACGUCUUAUAAGCUUGGUGAAAUCUCAUUGCCGUUAAACCUUUUUUUUUCAGGUUGACCUCGGAUCAGGUAGGGAUACCCGCUGAACUUAAGCAUAUCAAUAAGAGGAGGA